rnacentral:rRNA from 1 species
AACGAACGUUGGCGGCGUGGAUUAGGCAUGCAAGUCGCGGGAAUCCCAGCAAUGGGGGAACCGGCGUAAGGGGCAGUAAUGCGUGGGUACCUACCUUGGGGUCCGGGAUAGCCGUCCGAGAGGGCGGGUAAUACCGGAUGACCUCGAGAGAGCAAAGCUCCGGCGCCCUGAGAGGGGCCCACGUGAUAUUAGCUGGUUGGUGAGGUGACGGCUCACCAAGGCGGAGAUGUCUAGCGGGUGUGAGAGCACGACCCGCGCCACUCGCACUGAGACACUGGCGAGACACCUACGGGUGGCUGCAGUCGAGGAUCUUCGGCAAUGCGCGCAAGCGCGACCGAGCGACGCCGCGUGGGCGAUGAAGGCCUUCGGGUUGUAAAGCCCUGUCGAGGGGGAGAAAAGGGUAAAACUUUGAUCUAUCCCUGGAGGAAGCUCGGGCUAAGUUCGUGCCAGCAGCCGCAGUAACAC